CGCGUCUGAUUAGCUAGUUGGUGGGGUAAAAGCCUACCAAGGCAACGAUCAGUAGCCGGCCUGAGAGGGUGAACGGCCACAUUGGGACUGAGACACGGCCCAAACUCCUACGGGAGGCAGCAGUGGGGAAUAUUGCACAAUGGGGGAAACCCUGAUGCAGCGACGCCGCGUGAGUGAAGAAGUAUUUCGGUAUGUAAAGCUCUAUCAGCAGGGAAGAAAUACUGACCAUAGGGUCAGCAGACGGUACUUGACUAAGAAGCCCCGGCUAACUACGUGCCAGCAGCCGCGGUAAUACGUAGGGGGCAAGCGUUAUCCGGAUUUACUGGGUGUAAAGGGAGCGUAGACGGCAGCGCAAGUCUGAAGUGAAAUGCCAGGGCUUAACCCUGGAACUGCUUUGGAAACUGUGCAGCUAGAGUGCAGGAGAGGUAAGUGGAAUUUCUAGUGUAGCGGUGAAAUGCGUAGAUAUUAGGAGGAACACCAGUGGCGAAGGCGGCUUACUGGACUGUAACUGACGUUGAGGCUCGAAAGCGUGGGGAGCAAACAGGAUUAGAUACCCUGGUAGUCCACGCUGUAAACGAUGAUUACUAGGUGUUGGGGGACCAAGG
rnacentral:rRNA from 1 species